AUAUAUAGGAUAGGAACAUAGAAGGGUUGUGAGUACUACACAGCUUGGGAGGGGAAAGGAAGAGAGCAAAACAAAACAAAAACAAGAAGAUGGUUUCAUUUGGCAAAUUUUUCUUCCUUCUGCUUUUAUGCCUUAAUCUUCUUAUGUCCCCAAAACCUGCGGAAGCAAAGAUUGGUAUAGAACCUAUAGGUCUUUGCUCGAAGAUACCCAACUGCAAUCAGAAAUGUAAGGAAGUAAAAAAGACUACUAUUGGGGGAAUAUGUUAUAGGAGAUCUCCAAGGGACACCGAAGACACAUGUGGUUGCUUUAUAAUAAUCUCAUAUAUCGCUUCUUAAAGAUAUUGAUAGUGAUGUAAUAAAAGACAAUGAGUAUCAAAAUAUUUUAACUGAAAGUGACAAAAUUAAGUAUUAUAUGAUGCAAAUGAUUUAUCCAA